rnacentral:rRNA from 1 species
UAGGGAAUCUUCCGCAAUGGACGAAAGUCUGACGGAGCAACGCCGCGUGAGUGAUGAAGGUUUUCGGAUCGUAAAGCUCUGUUGUUAGGGAAGAACAAGUGCCGUUCAAAUAGGGCGGCACCUUGACGGUACCUAACCAGAAAGCCACGGCUAACUACGUGCCAGCAGCCGCGGUAAUACGUAGGUGGCAAGCGUUGUCCGGCAUUAUUGGGCGUAAAGGGCUCGCAGGCGGUUUCUUAAGUCUGAUGUGAAAGCCCCCGGCUCAACCGGGGAGGGUCAUUGGAAACUGGGGAACUUGAGUGCAGAAGAGGAGAGUGGAAUUCCACGUGUAGCGGUGAAAUGCGUAGAGAUGUGGAGGAACACCAGUGGCGAAGGCGACUCUCUGGUCUGUAACUGACGCUGAGGAGCGAAAGCGUGGGGAGCGAACA